rnacentral:rRNA from 1 species
UAAGGGCGCACGGUGGAUGCCUUGGCACUAGAAGCCGAUGAAGGACGUUACUAACGACGAUAUGCUUUGGGGAGCUGUAAGUAAGCUUUGAUCCAGAGAUUUCCGAAUGGGGAAACCCAGCAUGAGUUAUGUCAUGUUAUCGAUAUGUGAAUACAUAGCAUAUCAGAAGGCACACCCGGAGAACUGAAACAUCUUAGUACCCGGAGGAAGAGAAAGAAAAUUCGAUUCCCUUAGUAGCGGCGAGCGAAACGGGAAGAGCCCAAACCAACAAGCUUGCUUGUUGGGGUUGUAGGACACUCUAUACGGAGUUACAAAGGACGACAUUAGACGAAUCAUCUGGAAAGAUGAAUCAAAGAAGGUAAUAAUCCUGUAGUCGAAAAUGUUGUCUCUCUUGAGUGGAUCCUGAGUACGACGGAGCACGUGAAAUUCCGUCGGAAUCUGGGAGGACCAUCUCCUAAGGCUAAAUACUCUCUAGUGACCGAUAGUGAACCAGUACCGUGAGGGAAAGGUGAAAAGCACCCCGGAAGGGGAGUGAAAUAGAACCUGAAACCGUGUGCUUACAAGUAGUCAGAGCCCGUUAAUGGGUGAUGGCGUGCCUUUUGUAGAAUGAACCGGCGAGUUACGAUUUGAUGCAAGGUUAAGCAGUAAAUGUGGAGCCGUAGCGAAAGCGAGUCUGAAUAGGGCGUUUAGUAUUUGGUCGUAGACCCGAAACCAGGUGAUCUACCCUUGGUCAGGUUGAAGUUCAGGUAACACUGAAUGGAGGACCGAACCGACUUACGUUGAAAAGUGAGCGGAUGAACUGAGGGUAGCGGAGAAAUUCCAAUCGAACCUGGAGAUAGCUGGUUCUCUCCGAAAUAGCUUUAGGGCUAGCCUCAAGUGAUGAUUAUUGGAGGUAGAGCACUGUUUGGACGAGGGGCCCCUCUCGGGUUACCGAAUUCAGACAAACUCCGAAUGCCAAUUAAUUUAACUUGGGAGUCAGAACAUGGGUGAUAAGGUCCGUGUUCGAAAGGGAAACAGCCCAGACCACCAGCUAAGGUCCCAAAAUAUAUGUUAAGUGGAAAAGGAUGUGGCGUUGCCCAGACAACUAGGAUGUUGGCUUAGAAGCAGCCAUCAUUUAAAGAGUGCGUAAUA